AGUGAACGCUGGCGGUAGGCCUAACACAUGCAAGUCGAACGACAGCACAGUAAGAGCUUGCUCUUACGGGUGACGAGUGGCGGACGGGUGAGGUAUACAUCGGAAUCUACUUUUUCGUGGGGGAUAACGUAGGGAAACGUACGCUAAUACCGCAUACGACCUACGGGUGAGAGCAGGGGAUCUUCGGACCUUGCGCGAUUGAAUGAGCCGAUGUCGGAUUAGCUAGUUGGCGGGGUAAAGGCCCACCAAGGCGACGCUCCGUAGCUGGUCUGAGAGGAUGAUCAGCCACACUGGAACUGAGACACGGUCCAGACUCCUACGGGAGGCAGCAGUGGGGAAUAUUGGACAAUGGGCGCAAGCCUGAUCCAGCCAUACCGCGUGGGUGAAGAAGGCCUUCGGGUUGUACAGCCCUUUUGUUGGGAAAGAAAAGCAGCAGGUUAAUACCCCGCUGUUCUGACGGUACCCAAAGAAUAAGCACCGGCUAACUUCGUG
rnacentral:rRNA from 1 species